rnacentral:rRNA from 1 species
UCAUCUCCGGGGGUAGAGCACUGUUUCGGCAAGGGGGUCAUCCCGACUUACCAACCCGAUGCAAACUGCGAAUACCGGAGAAUGUUAUCACGGGAGACACACGGCGGGUGCUAACGUCCGUCGUGAAGAGGGAAACAACCCAGACCGCCAGCUAAGGUCCCAAAGUCAUGGUUAAGUGGGAAACGAUGUGGGAAGGCCCAGACAGCCAGGAUGUUGGCUUAGAAGCAGCCAUCAUUUAAAGAAAGCGUAAUAGCUCACUGGUCGAGUCGGCCUGCGCGGAAGAUGUAACGGGGCUAAACCAUGCACCGAAGCUGCGGCAGCGACGCUUAUGCGUUGUUGGGUAGGGGAGCGUUCUGUAAGCCUGUGAAGGUGUGCUGUGAGGCAUGCUGGAGGUAUCAGAAGUGCGAAUGCUGACAUAAGUAACGAUAAAGCGGGUGAAAAGCCCGCUCGCCGGAAGACCAAGGGUUCCUGUCCAACGUUAAUCGGGGCAGGGUGAGUCGACCCCUAAGGCGAGGCCGAAAGGCGUAGUCGAUGGGAAACAGGUUAAUAUUCCUGUACUUGGUGUUACUGCGAAGGGGGGACGGAGAAGGCUAUGUUGGCCGGGCGACGGUUGUCCCGGUUUAAGCGUGUAGGCUGGUUUUCCAGGCAAAUCCGGAAAAUCAAGGCUGAGGCGUGAUGACGAGGCACUACGGUGCUGAAGCAACAAAUGCCCUGCUUCCAGGAAAAGCCUCUAAGCAUCAGGUAACAUCAAAUCGUACCCCAAACCGACACAGGUGGUCAGGUAGAGAAUACCAAGGCGCUUGAGAGAACUCGGGUGAAGGAACUAGGCAAAAUGGUGCCGUAACUUCGGGAGAAGGCACGCUGAUAUGUAGGUGAAGUCCCUCGCGGAUGGAGCUGAAAUCAGUCGAAGAUACCAGCUGGCUGCAACUGUUUAUUAAAAACACAGCACUGUGCAAACACGAAAGUGGACGUAUACGGUGUGACGCCUGCCCGGUGCCGGAAGGUUAAUUGAUGGGGUCAGCGCAAGCGAAGCUCUUGAUCGAAGCCCCGGUAAACGGCGGCCGUAACUAUAACGGUCCUAAGGUAGCGAAAUUCCUUGUCGGGUAAGUUCCGACCUGCACGAAUGGCGUAAUGAUGGCCAGGCUGUCUCCACCCGAGACUCAGUGAAAUUGAACUCGCUGUGAAGAUGCAGUGUACCCGCGGCAAGACGGAAAGACCCCGUGAACCUUUACUAUAGCUUGACACUGAACAUUGAGCCUUGAUGUGUAGGAUAGGUGGGAGGCUUAGAAGUGUGGACGCCAGUCUGCAUGGAGCCGACCUUGAAAUACCACCCUUUAAUGUUUGAUGUUCUAACGUUGACCCGUAAUCCGGGUUGCGGACAGUGUCUGGUGGGUAGUUUGACUGGGGCGGUCUCCUCCUAAAGAGUAACGGAGGAGCACGAAGGUUGGCUAAUC